rnacentral:rRNA from 1 species
CGUCGUGAGACAGUUCGGUCCAUAUCCAUCGCGGGCGUUGGAAGCUUGAAGGGGUCUGCCCCCAGUACGAGAGGACCGGGGUGGACGGGCCUACGGUGUACCGGUCAUGGCGCCAGCCGUGCAGCCGGGUAGCUGCGCCCGGAAGGGAUAAACGCUGAAAGCAUCUAAGCGUGAAGCCCGCCCUGAGAUGAGGCUUCCCAUAUCGCAAGAUAGUAAGGCGCCUUGUAGAACACAAGGUUGAUAGGCAGGGAGUGGGAGCGCCGCAAGGCGUGGAGCGGACCUGCACUAAUACGCCGAGGGCCUGACUUU